UAAUUCUAGUCGGUAGAAAGAAGAAAACACUAGCAGAAAAAAAGUCCCGUAUGCAUUCUUCUAUUGAAGCUAAAGAGGAUUUAACAUCAGAAAAGAGAGAGCAAUGCUCCGAAGCAUGCCCCUCACCCACAUACCAGAUGAGUGUUUUUUUUUUAAAAAAAAAACACAUACCAGAUGAGUCGAGUCUGGGAGUUGAGGGGUAACAGGUAUUCCCAUGUUCAAUUGCCAUCCAGUUCAAUUAUAAUAAAACAAACAGAGAGAGACCAUGUCCAAUAAAGAAGCAAUGCCACAAUUUUAUGAGCCACAGAUCAAGAAGGAGCAAUAAAAUAAAGCACUAGCCUAGAAGCCCCAAUUUUUUAGGCCAUGUGCUACUUUUUUUUCAUCCCUUGGUAAGUAAAAUAUGCAUUUGCAAGCUAUUGUAGAGCCGCAAAAUUCUCAUUGAGAGUUCAUAAACCAUUAAGUAUUGAUUGUUAUAAACACAAGACAUUGCCAUACAAGAUUGAACCAAGGCACUGAAAAAAGUCAUGAUGACGUAUGAUCAAAGCAGAUGUAUGAACUUGCAAGGUGCAGCCAACAGCCCAACAUGAAAGGUGAACAUCUUAUAUAAUAUCAAAUUGAAGAGUUUUGAAUGCAGUACAGAGAUAUCUUAUAUAAUAUCCA